AGUGAACGCUGGCGGUAGGCCUAACACAUGCAAGUCGAACGGCAGCACAGUAAGAGCUUGCUCUUACGGGUGGCGAGUGGCGGACGGGUGAGGAAUACAUCGGAAUCUACUUUUUCGUGGGGGAUAACGUAGGGAAACUUACGCUAAUACCGCAUACGACCUACGGGUGAAAGCAGGUGAUCUUCGGACCUUGCGCGAUUGAAUGAGCCGAUGUCGGAUUAGCUAGUUGGCGGGGUAAAGGCCCACCAAGGCGACGAUCCGUAGCUGGUCUGAGAGGAUGAUCAGCCACACUGGAACUGAGACACGGUCCAGACUCCUACGGUAGGCAGCAGUGGGGAAUAUUGGACAAUAGGCGCAAGCCUGAUCCAGCCAUACCGCGUGGGUGAAGAAGGCCUUCGGGUUGUAAAGCCCUUUUGUUGGGAAAGAAAAGCAGCAGGUUAAUACCCCGCUGUUCUGACGGUACCCAAAGAAUAAGCACCGGCUAACUUCGUG
rnacentral:rRNA from 1 species